UACUGAGUGGCAGACGGGUGAGUAACAUGUGGGAAUCUGCCUUGUGGUUCAGGACAACAUUGGGAAACCGAUGCUAAUACUGGAUAAGCCCUUACGGGGAAAGUUUUAAUGCCAUAAGAUGAGCCCGCAUUUGAUUAGUUAGUUGGUGAGGUAAUGGCUCACCAAGACAAUGAUCAAUAGCUGAUCUGAGAGGAUGAUCAGCCACACUGGGACUGAGACACGGCCCAGACUCCUACGGAGGCAGCAGUGGGGAAUCUUGCACAAUGGAGGAAACUCUGAUGCAGCGAUGCCGCGUGAGUGAAGAAGGCCUUUGGGUUGUAAAGCUCUUUUGUAGGGGAAGAUAAUGACUGUACCCUAAGAAUAAGGUCCGGCUAACUUCGUGCCAGCAGCCGCGGUAAUACGAAGGGACCUAGCGUAGUUCGGAAUUACUGGGCGUAAAGCGCGCGUAGGCCGUUGAGUUAGUUAAUUGUGAAAUCCCAAAGCUUAACUUUGGAACUGCAAUUAAAACUGCU
rnacentral:rRNA from 1 species